UCAUAGGGUUUGUUUACAAAAAUUCAAGCAUCCGGUUAAGAAGACGACAAAUAAGAAUGGUAUUAAGUUGGUAGAAUGGAACUCCUUCCUGAUUCCUGCACAUGUAAGUUACCAGAUACUCUUGAGGGACCAAUUUAAGGGCAAACAGACAAACGUUUUGAUGCAAAGAAAGCAUUGGAUUUGAAAGUUCCCAUGGAGAAGAAAAAUGGAGAGAUUCUAAAAGUAUGAAGAUACUCCUGUGUAUAAUGAGGAAAUCUUGUCAGUGAAUGUUGUUGCAAUUGUGGACCAGGCCAGAGUUGUACUAAACCAACUAAGACACAAUGAGAUACAGGAAUGACACAAUGAGAAACAGGAAACAGGAAAGUGAUGACUGAUCGCCACCUGUUACAAAUUCAUCUAGAAAACUCCCCACAUCCAACAAGAGACAGUCUGACUUCAAAAUCUUCAUUGAAGGCAACUUAAUGGACAAGACAUCCGUCACAUAAAGAUUCACUAAAAUUGGAAUGAUAUACCAAUUUUAACUUUUAACAGACAAAUACAUUAUAGAUUUGAAAAUAGAUUACCCUUAAAUAAGUUGGAUGAUUAACAUUUACCUCAACACAGUACAAAGUGCUCAUGUUGAACUAUUGUGAUUGAUCAUAGUCUGUCCUUCAUUUUUAUUAACAGUUUCAUACAGUGUUAACACUUUAGUAUGGGGACUCAUUUUUAGCUCAACUUUUCGAAGAAUAUGGAGAGCUAUACUACUCACCCAAGCGUCGGCGUCACCCCUUGGUUAAGGGUUUGCGUGCAAGCACACAUAGGUUAAUAUCUCGGCAACUACUUGAGGUAUUGCAUUGAGACUUUAUACAAUGGUACUCAACCAUCCAACCUACUUAAUUAACCAAGUUUGAUAACUCUACUUUGCAUUUAAUGCCAAUAAUAGGCCUUUAAUAUUUGACUUAGAAAUUCUGGUUAAGGUUUUGCAUGCAAGCACACAUAGGUUAAUAUCUCAGCAACUACUCGAGGUAUUGCAUUGAGACUUGAUACAAUGGUACUCAACCAUCCAACCUACUUAUUUAAAUAAGUAAGAUAACUCUAGUUUGCAUUUAAUGUAAAUAAUAGGCCUUUAUUAUUUGACUUAGAAAUUCUGGUUAAGGUUUUGCAUGCAAGCACACAUAGGUUAAUAUCUCAGCAACUGCUUGAGGUAUUGCAUUGAGACUUGAUACAAUGGUACUCAACCAUCCAACCUACUUAUUUCAACAAGUAAGAUAACUCUAGUUUGCAUUUAAUGUAAAUAAUAGGCCUUUAUUAUUUGACUUAGAAAUUCUGGUUAAGGUUUUGCAUGCAAGCACACAUAGGUUAAUAUCUCAGCAACUGCUUGAGGUAUUGCAUUGAGACUUGAUGCAAUGGUACUCAACCAUCCAACCUACUUAAUUUUCCAAGUUAUAUAACUAUAGUUUGCAUUUAAUGCAAAUACUUGCGUUUAUUAUUUCACUCAGAAAUUCUGGUUAAGGUUUUGCAUGUAAGCACACAUAGGUUAAUAUCUCAGCAACUACUGGAUGAAUUGCAUUGAGACUUUAUACAACCACCCAACCUAAUUGAAUAAUCAAGUUAGAUAAAAAUUCUGGUUAAAAUUUUGCAUGUAACCACAUUUAUGUUAAUAUCUCCGCACAUCAUGUAUUGCAUUGAAAUCUAAUCUAACAGUGAUCCAUGCAUGUUUCGCCAAAACUUUUCAAUCCUUACACUGAAAAGCAGCGGAAUAGUCGAGAGCGCUGUCUCUGUGACAGCUCUUGUCUCUUUGGUCUUUAUUCAUACUGGCCAGAAUAUGUUUACCAAAAAAAUCUUAGUAGAGAUUGAUAACUGUUCAGGUUGGACAAAAAGCAUGUAGGUUGUUUGUUCUAAUAAUAUAAACUGUAAAUGCUUCAGAAACUAUAUAUAUAAUUUUCAUGACAUUUGUCAGUAUUUAUUCUCGUCAACAUUUAAAUAAUAUUAGGUGAAACUUGUUUAUUGGUCAAAAUGUGUUUGAUUAGAGUGGCCUCAAGUUCCACUUUAUACGAAUGAAAUUUGGUCAAGUUUUAGAAAAAAACUAUGUUCUAGUUUUAUAGGCCAUAUUCUCUUCCCAAGCUUUCCUUAAAGAAUGAAUGUAGGUAAUAUGAAACAGGAGUCACUAAGUCAAGUAUUAAAAACCUUAAAAAUUGCUAUUCAUAGAGGUAUUGUUUCCUCAUCAUAAAUCACAACUUAGCCAGCAAGACUUUUCAACAAAUAAGGCAUAACAUGUAAAAAGUUAAUAAUUAGGCACAUAUUUUAGUGAAUAAAAUCUUGUGACUAUAAUCUAUAUUUUUUUUUAGUUACCUUGUUCUGUUGUUAAUUUCCAUACUGACUUGGUCAAUUAUGGCUAAUUGUCUAAUUAUAUUUUAACUUCUAACCUAAAUGUUUCAUUGUACUUAUGAGGGUUCUGUUAACUAUAUUGCACAUUACCCUUUAUGACAGUAUAAAUUCAAUAAAACCAUGGUUAUUAAGUUCCAUACAUAUUGGAGCACAUGGUAAGACUCUAGAAAUGUCACUUCUUAAACCUAGAUUCUUGAUCUGUUCGCCACAUUGUUUUGUUAAUUUUUUGUUUAUAAAAACAAAUGAUUGUUUAAUGUCAAGGAAACCUUUUUAAAGUUAAAAUGUAGAUGUACAUAGAUAACUGUCAAAUAUUAUUUACCAUUUAAUAACUGUCUAAAGGCAAAAUUUCCAUUCAUUUUUAUAUUUGAUUUGGGUCCCUAGGGUCAUGGUCACUGUAACUAAAAAUAGAAAAAUGCUUGGUACUGAAUAACUUCACUUUUAAUACAUUUAAAACUGAAUCUCACAAUAAAGGCUGAAGUUCUUGUUGCAUUGCAGCAUUUCUAGUUAACUUUUUAAUUUGACUCUUUUUAUUGCUUUCGACAAGCACAUAUUACAUCAUUAUUGUAUUCAUUUUUAAGACAAAGCCUCAUUUAAUUGAGCGUGCUGUCCAAAGACAGCUCUUGUUGACAUAAUUAUAAGACACCUUAUGUUAUGGUUUAUAUGAACAAUAGCUGUUUCUGUGUAUGUUUUAGAAGAAACUUCCAUUUCUUAUCAUAUUGAUGGACAUAGAUAUACAUACAUGUACGGGAUUAUUGACAUCAGAUUCUUAGGAUUAAAUUUACUAAUGUUCUGUUCAUGUUCAAAAUAGAUACAGUUAUGGUAAAUG